GUACUGCCGAGGGCACCGAGUGCCCGGACGCAGGAAGGGCUGAAGGCCGCGUUCCCCCUGCGCCACGGGGGUCUCUAUUGGGAGCUGCCUGCGCGGGCGGCGGAAGCAGCCGGAGGGGCCGGAGCGGCCUCUCCUGGCCCCGGCGAGGGGCGGCGGAGGCGCCGUGAGUGUGCCCGCCGUGCCCGAGCCCCCUCCCAGGCCUUGCCCUCGGGUCAGGGGGUGCAGCGUCCUCUGCGGUGACAAUUCUGUGACUCCCAUCUGGCCCGGGCAAGGAUGCCAUUUUUCUGUGAAUACUUUGCAAACAAAUAGAAGAAAAAAAGCAAUUUCAAAAGCAAGAAGGAGAAGAAGAAGAAGCAAAAGACACUCUCGCCCCUACAUCAAGCACUCGACCCUCAACACCUAAGAAAGAAAGAGGAAAACCAGGUUCCUUGGUCCUUGAAAAAGGCAUUUCCGUGGUGUGGCAGCUGAAAUAGAUCAACUAAUCCCAGUGAUGGAAGAGUGUUCUUGAAGCCCUCAUAUGAGUUAGUGAACUGUGGUAAAGAAUGGUAGGAAACAUACCCUGAGCUGGUAUCCUGGUAAGAACUACUGACGUUUCAUCUCUGCAGUUGCAUGCUAUUCAGUGGCCAUCGUUAACAGAAGGUUUUGUUUUGGGGCGCAACUGAGUGUCCACCAUGGAAAAUAAAUAAAUUAAUAAAGUACUAGGGUGAAAGAGC
rnacentral:lncRNA from 1 species